rnacentral:misc_RNA from 1 species
GAAAUGCGAUAAGUAAUGUGAAUUGCAGAAUUCCGUGAAUCAUCGAAUCUUUGAACGCACAUUGCGCCCUCUGGCAUUCCGGGGGGCAUGCCUGUCCGAGCGUCAUUACGCACCCUCAAGCCCGGCUUGUGUGAUGGGCCCUGGCGUCUCGUUCGCGAGACGGGCCCGAAAGGCAGCGGCGGCGUCGACCCGAUGAGCCCGAACGUAUGGGGACUUUUGUCACACGUUUGCGGUGCGGACCGGCGCCUGCUUGACUUUUCUGAUUAUCCAGGUUGACCUCGGAUCAGGUAGGGAUACCCGCUGAACUUAAGC